AUGGACCGCUCGCACGCUGCGGUUCUGAGCGCGCCGUCCACGCCCGCCUGACGACUGCUCGCUACAUGUUGGUAGCC
rnacentral:sRNA from 1 species